AUUCUACCCAUGCGGGGAAGGAUGAGAAGCUUCGACUAAGGUUCGAUUCGAGCGCAGCGAGAAAGCGUUGCCGCAGGCAACGACCCGAAGGGCGAAACGCGCAGCGCUGAGUCAUCCUUCCCCCACCACCA
rnacentral:sRNA from 7 species